rnacentral:rRNA from 1 species
UGCCAGCCGCCGCGGUAAUACGGAGAUGGCAACCGUUGUUCGGAAUCACUGGGCUUAAAGAGCACGUAGGCGGAAAGAUAAGUUGGGUGUGAAAUCCUCUGGCUUACCCAGAGAACUGCAUCCAAAACUGUUUUUCUUGAGUUCAGGAGGGGAGAGUGGAACUUCUAGUGGAGCGGUGAAAUGCGUUGAUAUUAGAAGGAACGCCGGUGGCGAAAGCGACUCUCUGGCCUGUAACUGACGCUGAGGUGCGAAAGCUAGGGGAGCAAACGGGAUUAGAUA